rnacentral:rRNA from 1 species
UUAAAAGACCUAGCAAUAGGUAUGCUUAGGGAAGAGCUUGCGUCACAUUAGUUAGUUGGUGGGGUAAUGGCCUACCAAGACGAUGAUGUGUAGCCGGGCUGAGAGGUCGAACGGCCACAUUGGGACUGAGACACGGCCCAAACUCCUACGGGAGGCAGCAGUAAGGAAUUUUCGGCAAUGGAGGAAACUCUGACCGAGCAAUGCCGCGUGAACGAUGAAGUAUUUUGGUACGUAAAGUUCUUUUAUUAGGGAAGAAAAGAUGGUGGAAAAACCAUUAUGACGGUACCUAAUGAAUAAGCCCCGGCUAACUAUGCGCCAGCAGCCGCGGUAAUACAUAGGGGGCAAGCGUUAUCCGGAAUUAUUGGGCGUAAAGGGUGCGUAGGCGGUUAAAUAAGUUUAUGGUCUAAGUGCAACGCUCAACGUUGUGAUGCUAUAAAAACUGUUUAGCUAGAGUUGGAUAGAGGCAAGUGGAAUUCCGUGUGUAGUGGUAAAAUGCGUAAAUAUACGGAGGAACACCAGAAGCGAGGGCGGCUUGCUGGGUCUUAACUGACGCUGAGGCACGAAAGCGUGGGGAGCAAACAGGAUUAGAUACCCUGGUAGUCCACGCCCUAAACGAUGAGUACUAAACGUUGGAUAAAACCAGUGUUGAAGUUAACACAUUAAGUACUCCGCCUGAGUAGUACGUACGCAAGUAUGAAACUUAAAGGAAUUGACGGGACUCCGCACAAGCGGUGGAUCAUGUUGUUUAAUUCGAAGGUACCCGAAAAACCUCACCAGGUCUUGACAUGCUUUUACAAAGCUGUAGAAAUACAGUGGAGGUUAUCAGAAGCACAGGUGGUGCAUGGUUGUCGUCAGCUCGUGUCGUGAGAUGUUGGGUUAAGUCCCGCAACGAGCGCAACCCUUGUUGUCAAUUGCCAUCAUUAAGUUGGGGACUUUAGCAAGACUGCCAAUGAUAAAUUGGAGGAAGGUGGGGACGACGUCAAAUCAUCAUGCCCCUUAUGACCUGGGCUACAAACGUGAUACAAUGGCUGUUACAAAGGGUAGCUAAAGCGUAAGCUUCUGGCGAAUCUCAAAAAAACAGUCUCAGUUCGGAUUG